CCUACGGGAGGCAGCAGUGGGGAAUAUUGCGCAAUGGGCGAAAGCCUGACGCAGCGACGCCGCGUGAGGGAUGAAGGUCUUCGGAUCGUAAACCUCUGUCAGCAGGGAAGAACGGUCACUGUGCUAAUCAGCAGUGAAUUGACGGUACCUGCAAAGGAAGCACCGGCUAACUCCGUGCCAGCAGCCGCGGUAAUACGGAGGGUGCGAGCGUUAAUCGGAAUUACUGGGCGUAAAGCGCUCGUAGGCGGUAUGUCAAGUCAAGGGUGAAAUCCCCGCGCUCAACGUGGGAACUGCCUUUGAAACUGGCAAACUGGAGUGUGCGAGAGGAUAGUGGAAUUCCAGGUGUAGGAGUGAAAUGCGUAGAUAUCUGGAGGAACAUCAGUGGCGAAGGCGACUAUCUGGCACAUAACUGACGCUGAGGAGCGAAAGCGUGGGUAGCAAACAGGAUUAGAUACCCGGGUAGUC
rnacentral:rRNA from 1 species